rnacentral:rRNA from 1 species
CCUACGGGUGGCAGCAGUGAGGAAUAUUGGUCAAUGGACGCAAGUCUGAACCAGCCAUGCCGCGUGCAGGAAGACGGCUCUAUGAGUUGUAAACUGCUUUUGUACGAGGGUAAACGCAUAUACGCGUAUAUAUCUGCAAGUAUCCUACGAAUAAGCAUCGGCUAACUCCGUGCCAGCAGCCGCGGUAAUACGGAGGAUUCAAGCGUUAUCCGGAUUUAUUGGGUUUAAAGGGUGCGUAGGUGGUUGGAUAAGUUAGAGGUGAAAUUCUGAGGCUCAACUUCAGAAUUGCCUUUGAUACUGUAAGGCUUGAGAGUAGUUGCGGUAGGCGGAAUGUAUGGUGUAGCGGUGAAAUGCAUAGAGAUCACACAGAACACCGAUUGCGAAGGCAGCUUACCAAGCUACUUCUGACGUUGAGGCACGAAAGCGUGGGGAGCAAACAGGAUUAGAUACCCCUGUAGUC